rnacentral:lncRNA from 1 species
UGAUGUUUCUGCAGAAGUUUUCCCCCUUGGUCGGUGGCGGAGCUGCUGAGCGCGAUAGUAGCAGCUCCGGCGGCAGCAACAUUGACUACGAGGAAUGGCGGCGGCUGCCGCAGGACCUGCAGCAUCCCAGAGGAAGUCGUGCAGUUUCUAGACAAGAAGCAUCCAAACCACUAUCAAGUCUACAAUCUAUGCAGUGAAAGAGCUUAUGAUCCUAAGCACUUCCAUAUUAGGGUCAGUAGAAUCAUGAUUGAUGAUCAUUAUGUCCCCACUCUACAUAAGAUGGUGGUAUUCUCCAAGGAAGUAAAUGAGUGGAUGACUCAAGAUCCUGAAAACAUCAUAGUGAUUCACUGUAAAGGAGGCAAAGUCUUAUAAAAUCUGCUUUAGGAGACAGAACUGGGCUUGAAGCCUUGUCUUUCAAAGACAAAAUCCAUGCAAGACCAAGUGUUGGAGCAGGCGAUGGAUAUGAUCUAAAAGUCAAAAUAGUGAUGGAGAAAAAGGUUGUCUUUUCCUGUACUUACUUAAGAAAUUGUUAGGUAUUUCAUGACACUGAAACAGAGCAAUAAUUGAUGUAUUCAACAGUCCACCUCUGUAUGAUGAUGUGAAAGUGCAAUUUUUCUCUUUGGCUAAGGAAGCAAGAAAGUGGAGGGGCGGGCAGAGCCAGAUCCAGUGGUUUCACUCAUGCAAGACAGAAGUCACUGUCUAUCCUGUGGCUGGAGGGGCUACUUUGCUCAGAAGACACAGGUCUUCCCCAGAAUCUCACGUGGCUGCUUACUGUUUCCCUGUCUUCUCUCCCCAUUUUGUCCUUUGCUAAGGAAACUGAACUGAAUUCCAGGUCUUCUCUAAUAGAGUGUCUCUCCUUCAACAGGGAACAAAACUACAGUUGCCUGUAGUUUUUGCUUCUGUUCAGUCUCCAUCAUGGCAUGCCAUACUCUCCUGGUUUGUGCCCUGCUUGUUUCUUUACUGCCUUCCUGCCUGCCCUUUCUGUGCUGGAGGCUCAUCCCAUUCAUGCUCAGCCCUCCUCGCUGUCUACACUGUCUUCUUGGGCAAUCGUAUCUAGUCCCAAGCCUUUUUAAAAAACAAGCUCUACCCAUCAUGGUGGAAUUCCUGUCUAUAAAAGGGCACACCUUCAGACCUCCAGGCACCUCCAGAGAACAGUGCUGUGCACAAGAAACCGAAUUCAGUUGUGUGGGACCUGCAGCUGCAAUCAGGUUUCAAACUCCUACUGAAAUAACUAAGACUGCCCUUUGCAAUCUUGAAGCUUAUAUAAUAAUUUUAAGUGGUAUAAAAUAAAUCAACAUUCAAAGCAGGGAUAGCUAAACAUCCCAGUGGUUUCCAAAUUCUGUUUAGUCUCUAUAUAAUAAAUACCCAAGGCAAGACCAACAAAGAGGCAAAGUCUGAUGUUUUGGGAAGAUUUGGACAGAGAAAGGUGGGUUCCCUUGCAUCUUCGCAGACAUUUCCGACCCUUCCUAAAACUCCUCAAGUUCAUCUGGCUCAGACAACCUCUUCCAAUACUCUGCUUUUUGCUAAUGAAAGAAAAGCUAAAUCUUGGAUCAUAAGCAGCAUCUACAGUUUCAGUGCAGCAUGUCUGCUGACGAGAGGUAGCACUGCCAGCUGCAUCUGAACAGCAUUCUCCUGGAGAAAACUGAAACAGAAGGGCGGUUCAUUCUCAGUGGUGGAUGAUGAGCAGGUCUCCUCUGUGGUGUGCAUAUGUGGUUUCUAAGUUUUAUAUGAUGACAAUGUAUAACUUCAUAAAUAAAAGGAAAGCAGUUAUUUUUAAAAAAGGAAAUGUUCUUCCACAUAAGGCACCAGUAAAAUUGUGACCAUACAACAGUAGAUUUUUUUUAAUUUUUAUUUUUUUGUAGAGAUGAGGAUCUUGCUGUGUUGCCCAGGCUGGUUUUGAACUCUCAGCCUCAAGCCAUUUUCCUGCCUUUGCCUCCCAAAGUGCUGGGAUUACAGGCAUGAGCCACCAUGUCUUGCCAGUUUUGUGGGGUUUUUUUAAACAAAUAAAAAAAGUGUGUGUCCUUGACUCACCUCAGCUUUGCCUGCUUGUCCAAUCCAGCCACUUUCCGCACCACCUGCUGGCAGAAGCCGUAGCACAUGAAGAGGACUGAGUUCUCAGCGAUGUUGGCGAUUAGUGCUGGACUGGUACCCUUGUAGAAGCCACGGAAGCCCACCUGGGAGUAAGUCUUCAGGCAGCAGUCGGUGAGGCCCCGGUACAGGUCAGGGAACGUCUGCAUCUUCACUUUCAUUGUGUCAAAGGGCUGCCCGGUCAGUACACAUGCUGUACCUCCUGCAAUCAGGACAGAUGACUGCUCUAGUACGAGGCUACAGUUCCAUUAUCCAUGGAAGGAAGGCACAGGCAGCCUACCCCAGAACUUACCCCUGCUUCGGUUCAUUUCAACCUCUUUUCCUCCAAAACCUUCCAGCCAUGUCCAGUAAACAAUUUAGAGCAGGUCCUUGAUGUGCCUGGCAUCUAAGUCCCACCCUGAAGGAGCUCAUGCCAGGCAGGGGAGAGAGACAGACAUGUGUUCAACAGCGGCAAACAGUGCAGUGAAUAUGUAGGAGCCUGGGCAAUAGGGUCAGAGGGACUAUGGCUUUGCUGUGAGAUCCUGGACAAGCCAUGUAACUUCUGAGCCUCAGCUCCUCAUCCAUGCCACCUCACAGGGUUAGCGUGAGGAUUAAAUAAAAAUGGAGGAGACAGGCUUGGCACAGCACCGGCUACGUAAUCAGUAAACAGCAGCUACUGUGUGCACAAGAAACGGAAACCACAGAAAGGGAGGGGAGACCUGGGAAGACUUCAUCGCUCACUUUGCCUAAUGCCCAGUGGGACUGAUCAGACCCGGCACCACGGAAAGGAAACAAGGAGUCUGGCUAAUUAAUCCCCAAAGAGCUAAAUAUUUCAUUCUAUAGAAAAACCUCUUUAAUUUGAGCUCUACCGAUUAAUAACGUGUAUGUAAAUAGAGAAUGAACUGAAAUUUAUUUAUGCUUAAAUCCUUUAUUUAUAUACUUCUAUAAGAUUAAAUACAGCAGAGUCUACAUUGCACAAAAUAAUUUUUUUUUUUUUUUUGAGAUGGUGUCUUGCUCUGUCACCCAGGCUGGAGUGCAGUGGUGCAAUCUCAGCUCACUGCAAACUCCACCUCCCAGGUUCAAGGAAUUCCUGUGCCUCAGCUUCCCAAGUAGCUGGGAUUACAGGCACCCACCACCACGCCUGGCUAAUUUUUGUACUUUUCAUAGAGAUGGGGUUUCACCAUGUUGGCCAGGGUGGUCUCUAACUCCUGGCCUCAAAUGAUCCUCCUGCCUUGGCCUCCCAAAAUGCUGGGAGGCAUAAGCCACCAUGCCCAGCCACGUGAAAUCAUUUUAGUAAAAAUUCUAAACAGAAGAGAAGAAUGAACUGUAACCACCCUACAACAUCCCCACACCCUGUAGUAGGGUUGGCGUCGUGGGAACUGCCAGUGGUUAGUGUUUACCGUCUCCUUCUGGACCUGAGAGGAGCUCUUAAAGCUUCAUCAAAAUGCAAAAGAAGGCUUACAGAAAAUAUUUAAGAAAUGCAACUUCCUGAAUUUGAUGUUAUACACAGUUAUUCCAUCUAAACUCUGGAAAGUGGAGUUGGGGGAAGGGACAUUAAGAAUAAUUCUCAAUUAUUUAUUGGCAAAUAAGCCAACAAUUCCAGAGUCUGAAAACUGCUUGAUCUCUUUUUUAAGCAACAAGCAAUAUGAUCUCUGUGAGCCCAUCAUUACUGUUCAUUUCUUACAGGAGAGGAAUGACACACUUCCGCCUUUAAUUGCCAAAUUAUCCCCAAUUCUGAAUUAGUGGAAUAUAAUUUAAUAUGAUUUUAUUAUGAUUAAUCCUGAGUCAUUCUCUCCCAGGUAAUGCUGGGCUAGGAUAAAAAGAAAUCUGAAUUACAUUAAAAUAAUUUAAUUAUUCCAAGAGAAAAGGUGACAGAAUGUUUUAAGUGGGUGCGUAAUUCAGAGAGCCUAGAUGCAGAUAAGCUGAAUAAAGCAUUUAAUUCAGCACAUUCAUAUUUUAACUUGAUCAUCUUGAACAGUUCAGGCAUCACAGGUUACUAGAAUACACAUUUGCUGUGUAGCUGGGACAGUUACAUUUCCAACAGGGAGAAGGGGGAGGCUAAUGAAUGUACAAAUGCUAGCAACAACUGUCUCCCGUCCUCUGCAAGGGUAAGCUAACUUCCCGUGUAAUUUACCACAAAUGAUAUGGUCACGGCGCUCACUGUGCCCUCAAGUGAGAGAAGACUGUUCUGAACACCAGUACCAACCACAGAGACUGACACCUAGUAGGUUCUCAAAGAUCGAUCAAGUCCAUAAAGCCAUGAAUAAAUAUUAUAUUUCUCCACUUGCCUAGAAA